rnacentral:rRNA from 1 species
ACUCCUACGGGAGGCAGCAGUGGGGAAUAUUGGACAAUGGGCGAAAGCCUGAUCCAGCCAUGCCGCGUGUGUGAAGAAGGCCUUCGGGUUGUAAAGCACUUUAAGCGAGGAGGAAGGUUCGUCACCUAAUACGUGACGGAAUUGACGUUACUCGCAGAAUAAGCACCGGCUAACUCUGUGCCAGCAGCCGCGGUAAUACAGAGGGUGCAAGCGUUAAUCGGAAUUACUGGGCGUAAAGCGCGCG